rnacentral:lncRNA from 1 species
AAGGAGUCGACACUCGAAGAUGACAAGAAAUUCAAGAACGAAGGUCCUUCCAUUGAAGCAUAGUUUAAGAUUGUACCCCUGCGCGGGACUGAUUAUUUUGUAUCCCAUUUUCCCUACUAUGUAUCCCCAUUCAUUUUAUUUACAAAGCAUGUAUAAAUUUAAGUUUUAGGGGCACUGAAAUGUUACAAAUGACGUAUACAUCCCUCAAAUCAUUAGGCCUACC